rfam:Cyphomyrmex costatus contig13530, whole genome shotgun sequence.
GCCUCGAUAGUCUAAUUGGCUAGGACACUUGCGCGUAAAGCAGACGAUCCGGGUUCGACCCUCGGCCCAGGUA